rnacentral:rRNA from 2 species
GGAUCCAGACUUUGAUUCUGGCUCAGGAUGAACGCUGGCGGCGCAUUUAAGACAUGCAAGUCGAACGAAAAUUUACGCUUAAAGAGUUGAUUAGUUUACUAAGAGAUGAUUUAUUGUAAAUUUUAGUGGCGGACUGGUGAGUAAUACAUAGGUAAUCUGCCUUUUAGAGGGGAAUAACUAGGAGAAAUCCUAGCUAAUACCGCGUAAGACCACACUUAGGCAUCUAAGAGAGGUCAAAGGAGUAAUCCGCUAAAAGAUGAGCCUGUGGCUGAUUAGUUAGUUGGUGGGGUAAGAGCCUACCAAGACGAUGAUCAGUAGCCGAGCUGAGAGGCUGGCCGGCCACAUUGGGACUGAGAUACGGCCCAGACUCCUACGGGAGGCAGCAGUUGGGAAUAUUGGACAAUGGAGGAAACUCUGAUCCAGUGACGCCGCGUGAAGGAAGAAGGUCUUCGGAUUGUAAACUUAUUUUAUCAGGGAAGAAGAAAGUGACAGUACCUGAAGAAAAAGGACCGGCAAACUACGUGCCAGCAGCCGCGGUAAUACGUAGGGUCCAAGCGUUAUCCGGAUUUACUGGGUGUAAAGGGCGAGUAGACGGCGCUGUAAGUCAGCUGUGAAAACUUAGGGCUCAACCUUAAGCCUGCAGCUGAAACUGUAGUGCUAGAGUGCAGGAGAGGUAAGCGGAAUUCCUAGUGUAGCGGUGAAAUGCGUAGAUAUUAGGAGGAACACCAGUGGCGAAGGCGGCUUACUGGACUGUAACUGACGUUGAGGCGCGAAAGUGUGGGGAGCAAACAGGAUUAGAUACCCUGGUAGUCCACACCGUAAACGAUGGAUACUAGGUGUAGGCGAGAUAUCGUCUGUGCCGGCGCAAACGCAAUAAGUAUCCCACCUGGGGAGUACGGCCGCAAGGUUGCAACUCAAAUGAAUUGACGG